AACGAACGCUGGCGGCAGGCCUAACACAUGCAAGUCGAGCGAGGACUUCGGUUCUAGCGGCGGACGGGUGAGUAACACGUGGAUAACCUACCUAUAAGACUGGGAUAACUUCGGGAAACCGGAGCUAAUACCGGAUAACAUGUUGAACCGCAUGGUUCAACAGUGAAAGACGGUUUUGCUGUCACUUAUAGAUGGAUCCGCGCCGCAUUAGCUAGUUGGUAAGGUAACGGCUUACCAAGGCAACGAUGCGUAGCCGACCUGAGAGGGUGAUCGGCCACACUGGAACUGAGACACGGUCCAGACUCCUACGGGAGGCAGCAGUAGGGAAUCUUCCGCAAUGGGCGAAAGCCUGACGGAGCAACGCCGCGUGAGUGAAGAAGGUCUUCGGAUCGUAAAACUCUGUUAUUAGGGAAGAACAAAUGUGUAAGUAACUAUGCACGUCUUGACGGUACCUAAUCAGAAAGCCACGGCUAACUACGU
rnacentral:rRNA from 1 species